rnacentral:rRNA from 1 species
UCAGGACGAACGCUGGCGGCGUGCCUAAUACAUGCAAGUCGAACGGUCUUUCUAUGGAAGCUUGCUUCCACUGAGAAGAUAGUGGCGAACGGGUGAGUAACACGUGGGUAACCUGCCCAUAAGAGGGGGAUAACAUCCGGAAACGGGUGCUAAUACCGCAUAGUUUUCUUGAUCGCAUGAUCGGGAAAGGAAAGACGGCCUUUGUGCUGUCGCUUAUGGAUGGACCCGCGGCGUAUUAGUUAGUUGGUGAGGUAACGGCUCACCAAGACGAUGAUACGUAGCCGACCUGAGAGGGUGAUCGGCCACAUUGGGACUGAGACACGGCCCAAACUCCUACGGGAGGCAGCAGUAGGGAAUCUUCCGCAAUGGACGAAAGUCUGACGGAGCAACGCCGCGUGAGUGAAGAAAGGUUUUCGGAUCGUAAAACUCUGUGGUCAGAGAAGAACAAGUUGGAGAGUAACUGCUCCAGCCUUGACGGUAUCUGACCAGAAAGCCACGGCUAACUACGUGCCAGCCGCCGC